GUCGGUGUAGUAUAGUGGUUAGUACUUCUCGUUGUGGUAACAUGGGUUUACCCCUGUUUGUCUGUUCCGAGAGGACCCAUGUUCGAUUCAUGGCACCGACA
rnacentral:tRNA from 1 species